rnacentral:rRNA from 1 species
GAUGAACGCUGGCGGCGUGCCUAAUACAUGCAAGUCGAGCGAACAGACGAGGAGCUUGCUCCUCUGAUGUUAGCGGCGGACGGGUGAGUAACACGUGGAUAACCUACCUAUAAGACUGGGAUAACUUCGGGAAACCGGAGCUAAUACCGGAUAACAUGUUGAACCGCAUGGUUCAACAGUGAAAGACGGUCUUGCUGUCACUUAUAGAUGGAUCCGCGCCGCAUUAGCUAGUUGGUAAGGUAACGGCUUACCAAGGCAACGAUGCGUAGCCGACCUGAGAGGAUGAUCAGCCACACUGGAACUGAGACACGGUCCAGACUCCUACGGGAGGCAGCAGUAGGGAAUCUUCCGCAAUGGGCGAAAGCCUGACGGAGCAACGCCGCGUGAGUGAAGAAGGUCUUCGGAUCGUAAAACUCUGUUAUUAGGGAAGAACAAAUGUGUAAGUAACUAUGCACGUCUUGACGGUACCUAAUCAGAAAGCCACGGCUAACUACGUG